AGAGUUUGAUCAUGGCUCAGGAUAAACGCUGGCGGCGUGCCUAAUACAUGCAAGUCGAGCGGCAGCACGGACUUCGGUCUGGUGGCGAGCGGCGGACGGCUGAGUAACACGUAGGAACGUACCCCAAAGUGAGGGAUAACUGCCUGAAAAGGUGGCUAAUACCGCAUGUGGUCUUCGGAUUAAAGCUUUACGCGCUUUGG
rnacentral:rRNA from 1 species